GAAGGACAUCUGAGGCAGCUGAAGAGGACAUGUUAGAGGGUCCAUGUCAAAACCUCGCAGACUUGGAGGACCUCUGCAAAAAGAUUGCAGACCGCUCUUUUAAAAAGAAAAUGAUUCGGCACCUGAGCCUUCUUGGAGGCAGCAAUGUCGGGGAUGGGGUUCGAAGGAUGCUGA